GUGGGGAAUAUUGGACAAUGGGCGAAAGCCUGAUCCAGCCAUGCAGCGUGUGUGAAGAAGGUCUUCGGAUUGUAAAGCACUUUAAGUUGGGAGGAAGGGCAUUAACCUAAUACGUUAGUGUUUUGACGUUACCGACAGAAUAAGCACCGGCUAACUUCGUGCCAGCAGCCGCGGUAAUACGAAGGGUGCAAGCGUUAAUCGGAAUUACUGGGCGUAAAGCGCGCGUAGGCGGUUCGUUAAGUUGGCUGUGAAAGCCCCGGGCUCAACCUGGGAACUGCAUCCAAAACUGGUGAGCUAGAGUACGGUAGAGGGUGGUGGAAUUUCCUGUGUAGCGGUGAAAUGCGUAGAUAUAGGAAGGAACACCAGUGGCGAAGGCGACCACCUGGACUGAUACUGACACUGAGGUGCGAAAGCGUGGGGAGCAAACAGGAUUAGAAACCCUAGUAGUCC
rnacentral:rRNA from 1 species